GGCCGUGUAGCUCAGUUGGUCAGAGCGUGACACUGUUAAUGUCAAGGUCGUCGGUUCGAACCCGCCCAUGGUCG
rnacentral:tRNA from 1 species